rnacentral:rRNA from 1 species
UCGAACUAUAGAGUUUGAUCCUGGCUCAGAUUGAACGCUGGCGCAUGCUUUACACAUGCAAGUCGAACGGUAACAGGUCUUCGGAUGCUGACGAGUGGCGAACGGGUGAGUAAUACAUCGGAAGUGCCUAGUAGUGGGGAUAACUACUCGAAAGAGUAGCUAAUACCGCAUGAGAUCUACGGAUGAAAGCAGGGGAUCGCAAGACCUUGUGCUACUAGAGCGGCUGAUG